rnacentral:rRNA from 1 species
UAGGGAAUCUUCCACAAUGGACGAAAGUCUGAUGGAGCAACGCCGCGUGAGUGAAGAAGGGUUUCGGCUCGUAAAACUCUGUUGUUAAAGAAGAACAUAUCUGAGAGUAACUGUUCAGGUAUGACGGUAUUUAACCAGAAAGCCACGGCUAACUACGUGUCAG